rfam:Corchorus capsularis cultivar CVL-1 contig15105, whole genome shotgun sequence.
GGGUGCGAUCAUACCGGAUAAAAUGCAUCGGAUCCCGUCAGAUAUCCGCAGUCAAGCGUGCUUGGACGAGAGUAGAACUAGGAUGGGUGAUCUUCUUGGAAGUCCUCAUGUUGCACCCC